rnacentral:tRNA from 1 species
UAAAAAAUAAUAGUAUUAUUUGAUUUUUGAAUACUUAAAGCUCUGGACUUAGUUUUUUAU